GAUGAACGCUAGCGGCAGGCCUAACACAUGCAAGUCGAGGGGUAGGGUUAGCUUGCUAACUUGAGACCGGCGCACGGGUGCGUAACGCGUAUGCAAUCUACCUUGUGCAGAGGGAUAGCCCAGAGAAAUUUGGAUUAAUACCUCAUAGUAUCUUUACCUGGCAUCGGGUAAUUAUUAAAGUUCCAACGGUACAAGAUGAGCAUGCGUCCCAUUAGUUAGUUGGUAAGGUAACGGCUUACCAAGACAAUGAUGGGUAGGGGUCCUGAGAGGGAGAUCCCCCACACUGGUACUGAGACACGGACCAGACUCCUACGGGAGGCAGCAGUGAGGAAUAUUGGUCAAUGGACGCAAGUCUGAACCAGCCAUGCCGCGUGCAGGAAGACGGUCCUAUGGAUUGUAAACUGCUUUUAUACAGGAAGAAACAACUCUACGUGUAGAGUCUUGACGGUACUGUAGGAAUAAGGAUCGGCUAACUCCGUGCCAGCAGCCGCGGU
rnacentral:rRNA from 1 species